GCUGGACGUAUAUACUGGUACUUGUUGAUAAGUCACGUUUGGGAUCUAGAUUAUUAACCUAUGGUAGAACGAGUGUGGACGUUUACUCACAAGGCGUUUAAUCUUCCAUAAGGUUCAGUUUUGUUUGAGACUGGAGUUUGUAACAAAAUUGUGGAUAGAGUGAAAUCGUGGUCUGUGACUGGUCUGUUACCGGGGCUGGUGAUAGAAAACACACAACUAUUUGGAUAAAAUUCAUUUACAAUCGCAAAUCUUGAGAGAUCCAAUAUGUAUAUGAUGUGAGUGGAAAAAGUAUCUGAGCGUUUCUGCGGAGUUAUUAUGACCGCUCGUCUAGUUCAAUCGGACAGUCAGAGAUACUUGUAGACUUUGGUUGGACGAGACUAUUUGUGAUUAUAUUGUUUUUAAAAGUUAAGAAAUCAUUUUUUUUAAAGUGAAAUACAUGCUAUUUUGUAUCUUUGCAUUUUAAUCAUAAAAAAGAAGAAAUUCAAAGGUUAUUAUUAUUUUAUUAUGAUUUCCGCUGCGUAUCGAGUAUGUAUUUAUGUUAGUAUUUGGAGUAAUCUGACCGAAAACAAAUGUUCAUUAAUAAACAGAUGUGAUA